rnacentral:lncRNA from 1 species
ACACAUAGAUAUGAAGUAUUUUAUAUAAACUACGUGCUAUGUGUGCACAUUAUCUGAAUACUUGCUGUCUAUGCUGGUUGAACGUUUUAUACAUGUUUUAAAGGACUUAAACUGUAUACGUAUUUUAUAUAUACGAAAAUGUUGGGUAUGAGAUGGGUAGAUGAAUGAUGAGAGAUAGAAGAUGACGUGAGUAUACAUUGGCAGCUAUAGACUUAGUGCCUAUGGGACAAACACCGGUAGCUAUGGACUUAGUACCUUUUAGACGUUGGUAGCUAUGGAUUUAGUACCUGUUGGGAAUUGGUAGCUAUGGACUUAGUACCUAUUAGUUAGACGCUGGUAGCUAAGGAUUUAGUACCUGUAGGAAUUGGUAGCUAUGGACUUAGUACCUGUUGAACAUUGGUAGCUAUGGACUUAGUACCUAUUAGAUAAAGACUGGUAGCUAUGGAUUUAGUACCCGAUGAAUAGACUAUAGCAGCUAUGGAAUUAGUGCUUUAUGAACGAACAUUGGCAGCUAUGGAUUUAGUGCCAGUCCCAUAACCCUGGAAGUAAGGGACUUCGGAAUAAACGAAUGCAGGAUAGAUGACUCUUAGGUUAAAUCCUUAAAGAGUAAAGAAGAUAAUGGGGAUGGGUAAUUGGGUUGAUUGUUUGAUUGAACAUAAUAAUUAUAUUAUUGUGGGUUGAAAACCCUAUGUACUCACCAGGUUUCCCAACCUGACCCACUCAGUUUAUGUAUAUCACAGGUGACGAAGUGAAGUGACAUUACACUGAGAGAUUUAAAAGAGAUGUAGAUCACUAGUGUAAAUCAUUGUAAUUCUGUUUAUGCUUAUGUUUCGGUAUUAACGAUGACAUCCCAAACAUUUUAAAAUGAAAUAAAUACGUUUCUUCGAAAAUGUUUUAAUAACGUAUUUACCAUGUUUUUCUGGGAACAAAUUCCGCAACCUUUUUAUAAAAUGAAGUACUCUGAUUUUUAUAAAGCAUAAACAAAAUCGGUCUUUUCUGGCCGUGAUUUUGGGGAUGUCACAGUUGGUAUCAGAGCAUUAGUUUAAGCGAACUAGGAAUAUGGAUUUAUUUCUAGACUUAAACUUAGAAUGCUAAGCGAUGAUUGUGAGGUGUGAGCACUAGCUUAUUUUAGGAAUUGUGCCUAAAAUGCUUUUAUGUGCUAAAUGCUUUGUGCAUGAUAUGUUGUUAAUUGUUCGGAUCUAUGGUCUGUUGCCGACCGGAUCUGGAAACCUUAUGUGUUUAGGAUUCUAAACGUACGACUACGGUAUUAGAACUAGCAUGUAAAUGUUUCGGAGUGAUAAGGAUGAUUUAAACGUCAAGUAAAGGUCUAAAUUCACCUUAUUCGGUGUAUAGAUCGAGAUGGUAAGGACCCGUAGCGGAAACGUAAACGCAAAUGGGAACAGGAACCAACCCCCAGUGGUUCAGCAAAUACCUGUUGUAGAAGAAGUUGCGCCUGAGCCAGUCACCAUGGCUGGAGUUCAAGCCAUGAUUCGGGCUAUGUUGGCUGAACAAAGGGAAGAAAUGAGACGGAUGUUGAAUAGGGACGAACCUACUAUGCCCAUUGAGCAACCCGAACUGAUUCCCGAGCAAUCUGAGGAAGGGAACUACAGCCGCCAAGUGAGUCAAGUUGGGACUCAAGGUGAGCAAAGGGAUGGCCCAGAAGGGAGAAACAACAAGGAUGGGCGGAUGUACAAGAACUUCUUGGGUGCGAAACCACCAAGCCUCUCAGGAAGCCCAAAGCCGGUUGAGGUUAUGGAUUGGAUCUCUGAGAUGGAGAUGGUGUUUGAGAGCUGCAGCUGUAAUGAGAAACAGAAGACUGUCUUUGCAGUAAGACAGCUGAAAACUGGAGUCUUGAGCUGGUGGAAGCUAUUGGCAGAUACGAUGCCACGAGGAGAAGCCUUAAGGAUGUCGUGGGAAGAGUUUUUGGAACAGUUGAAAAUGCAGUACUGCUCGGAGGUAGAUCUGAUAGACCUAAACAACGAGUUUCAGAACCUGAAGAAAGGGAAGAUGAGUGUUGAUGAGUAUGCCACCGCAUUUACCGAGAGGAUGAAGCUAUUUCCCUACUUGGUGCCUACUGAACUCUCCAAGAUUGAUAGGUUUGCUAACGGACUGCCCACUGACUUUGGUCCAAUGGUCAAAAUGGCAACUACCUUAAAAGCAGCUAUUAGGGCAGCUAAGAACGUAGAGGCCCAGAUAAGAGAAAAGGGUCUAGAAAAAGAUAAGGCAGGAGAGAAGCGAAAGUUUGAGGGAUCUUCGAGGUCGAACAAGGAAAGCAAAUUCUCAAAACUCGGAGGAGCAGAUGGAGGUGAAACAAGAUGGUGUGAUAAAUGCAAGAAGAAGCAUGGUGGGAAGUGCAACGAAGAAGUGACUUGUUACAAGUGUGGGAGGACGGGUCACUAUUCCAAAGACUGCACACAUAAUGACAAAGUAUGCUACGGAUGUGGAGGCAAGGGGCACAUGUCCAGAGACUGCCCAAGGAAAAAUAAAGCAGCAAGACCAGAAACGCCACCAAGGCCAAGGGCAUUUCACAUGAUCCUCGACGAAGCAGAGAACCAUGCGAGGAAUCAAGAAUGAGGACUUCUUACCCGAAGAUCGGAUUAUGCAGUAGCCAUAGUUUCGUAUGAUGUAGCCUAGUAGAGGCAUAGUCUAGGGUGAACUUGAACACCUAUGUAAUCGUUUCAAGAAUUAAUAUAAAACCUUCGUUUUGUUAUCUGAUGUGUCGAAUGAUUGUGUGAUUUGCUGCAUGGUGACUUGGGAAACUGCGAGACAAUACUUGGGACGAGUAUGAGUAGGUGUGAAUGGUAGUAGAGGCCUAUACUACCGGAAGCACAGGACUCACACUUGGAUCAGGGAAAGUCACAAGGUUACCAAGAAGCUAGUAAUUGAUUUCGUUUUAUUCAAGUGUGUUGUUACCAUCGUUUCGGUAAUGACUAAGAAGAUUGUUGAUAUUCCGACCCUAGUGGUCAUAUCGAAUCGAGUCCGACUACGAUGAGUAUGUUGUGUGGUUCAGAGAACCAAGUUUGAUGUAGCGUCCGACUUAAACCAAACGGUUGAAAUCAAAGCGAUCAAUAGAAGUAUCGCACUCGUUGUUAAAGAAGUUGGUGGCUAGAAAUGCCUAAUGUUAAAGUGUGAUUAUAUCACAUUAGAACAUGAAGGAAGGCAUAGUCUGUUUUAGAAUUUAACUCUAAGAGACCUAAGUCUAAGUGUUGCAACAUACGAUGAUAGGUCAUUAGAAUAUGACACAUCGAUCUAUAGUAGUAAUAAAAGAACUUAUCUCAAGUCCGUAUCCAGCAAGGAUCGAGAUUGUGACUUGAAGGUCAUAAUUUGGAGUCUAACCUGAGGUAGAGAGCAGGUGCACGAUCGAGUACUCUUACAGUCAAUGAGUUUAAGAGAUAGAAUCGAAGGAAUGUAGAAGUUAUAAUUAUUACCUAGGAUGAAGAGAUGACGUAUGGAGUCAUUAUACGACCCUGUUUCGUUGAUGAUUCCGGGACGUAAUCAUCCUAAGGGGGAGAUAAUUGUAACGCCCGCAAAUCUGGGCUAGUCAAAUUAGAGGCAAUAGGGGUCGAAAACGACUUUUCGACAAAAGAUUAUUUAGAAUAAAUAAUCUUAACCAAGUUGUAGAGUAUGUUACAAGGUUUUCGUACAUAUAAAGAACGCCGAAAACCGAGUUAUAACGAAGAAGUUAUGACCCGUUGAAGUUUCGCGACGGAACCGGCACGAUACCGGGAAGCGUAAAUAGUGAAUUUACGAUAGAGCGAGAUUUAGCCUUAGCGAUCUAAACGAAAGUCGUAGAAUAUGUUAAACUAAGAACAUCGAUAAAAAGAACGCCCAAAUCUGACUUCGUAUGAGGAAGUUAUGAUUUUUCUAAGAUUUAGCAUAGCAGUGCACAGCCCGAAAUCUGAAUUUUAGAUCGGUCGAUUUUUAGCCGACGGGAUCUAAAUGAAAGUUGUAGUACUCGUAAAUACCAACGCGUGGAUAUAAAGAACGUCGAUAAUAGAGCUCGUAUGCAAAAGUUAUGGACGAAGCUUAGUCCCUACUUUUCGAGCGCGGCGAAUUCGAUACAGUUUUGUAAAUACGAGAUAGAAUGAGAAUUAGCCAACGAGGUCUAAAUGAGAGUUGAAGAUCUCAUUAAUAGGAACUCAACGGUAAAAAGACAGACAAAAAUGGAGCUCGUAUGCGAAAGUUAUGGACGAAGCUUAGUCCCUACUUUUCGAGCGCGGCGAAUUUGAUACAGUUUUGUAAAUCCGAGAUAGAAUGAGAAUUAGCCAACGAGGUCUAAAUGAAAGUUGAAGAUCUCAUUAAUAGGAACUCAACAGUAAAAAGACAGACAAAAACGGAGCUCGUAUGCAAAAGUUACGGACGAAGCUUGGAGACUACUUUACUAUACACUUCCUAUAAAUACAAGGGUGAACUCCUCAUAUUUUCUUCACACCAUAAGCCUUUCUUUCUCUCUCUAACUUCUCUCUAACCUCCCUAAACCCCUCCCAAGUCUAGGGAACCUCCCUAUCACGAGAAGAAAGCCCCGGAGCGCCCGACGGCUCCGAGAAGAAAAGCUUUCGGCUCGGAAACGCUGCUCUAGCGAAGCCCGGUUUUUAAUAAAAACCCGCUGUAAGUGAGUUACGCCUAUACUAUAUUUAAUAUAGCUUUUAUUUAAUUAUAGUAACAUUAUUAGGACCUUAAAAUAAUUAUUUGGGCUAUUAUUAUGAGUUGUAUUGAGUGUUAUUUAACGCUUAUAUAAUAGUAAUAAUAGCUAGACUAUUAAUUAGUCGCGAUUAACGUUAAAACUAAACUCUAGUGGUAUUAAUAGUAGGUUUUGGUCAAGGAAAAAUUGUUUUAAGAAGUAACGAAGAGCUGUCCGAGUGCCGAGUCACCACCUUACCAGGUGAGUGCAUAGUCCCUUUCAUCUUACACAUAGAUAUGAAGUAUUUUAUAUAAACUACGUGCUAUGUGUGCAUAGUAUCUGAAUACUUGAUGUCUAUGCUGGUUGAACGUUUUAUACAUGUUUUAAAGGACUUAAACUGUAUAGGUAUCUUAUAUAUACGAAAAUGUUGGGAAUGAGAUGGGUAGAUGAAUGAUGAGAGAUAGAAGAUGAUGUGAGUAUACAUUGGCAGCUAUAGACUUAGUGCCUAUGGGGCAAACACUGGUAGUUAUGGACUUAGUACCUUUCAGACGUUGGUAGCUAUGGAUUUGGUACCUGUUGGGAAUUGGUAGCUAUGGACUUAGUACCUAUUAGUUAGACGCUGGUAGCUAAGGAUUUAGUACCUGUAGGAAUUGGUAGCUAUAGACUUAGUACCUGUUGAACAUUGGUAGCUAUGGACUUAGUACCUAUUAGAUAAAGACUGGUAGCUAUGGAUUUAGUACCCGAUGAAUAGACU